CCCAGACUGAGGAUGGUGAGGAAGCUGAUAUAGCUGCUCCGAAGAAAUUCCAGUUAUUUAAUCCAGAUUCAUUAAGUCCCAGGAGCUGAAAGAUUUUAUAAAGGAAGAAGUCUUAAUGCUGGUGAGAGGACAGAAUUUUUCCCAUGACUGCUUCCAGAAACUCCAGGGCUCCGGAGUGGAUUCUACCUCUCAAGAGUAACGCUCAAGCAUCAAGAUUAGAGAUUCCUAGAGAAAGCCCGAUGCUCAUCUGUCCUGGAAACACCUGUGCUCCCCAAUCACCAGAGUUGAGAGACAAGUGUGGUACAACCUUGGAGUCA